CCUGCUCGCUCUCCUCUCGCCAGAGGGCGCUGCCGAGGUGCCUUGUUGCCCCCGACCCUCUACUGCCCCGUCCGCAGAGGCCCACGGUCUAGGUUGUGGUGAUUGUUUUGGUUUGGGUGUUUUUUAGGGGGAUAAGGGGGCUGGGAAUAGAUCCUCCCUGUGGAGUUGGCGGGGAUUCCUCGUUUCUGCCCAAGCGCCGCGGAAUCCAGCACCACCGGCCUGGGACAGCGGCAGGACGCCGAGACAGGUGCCGGCCCCAGCCAUGUGUCCUCGGCACAUGCCAACUCCUUUUCACCUUCCACAAUGAGCUGAAGUACCCUGAGGCCCUCACCAGACGCAGAUGCCCAAUCUUGAACUUUCCAGCCACCAGAAUUGUG
rnacentral:lncRNA from 1 species